UACAGAGGUCCCAAGCGUUGUUCGGAUUCACUGGGCGUAAAGGGUGCGUAGGUGGUGAGGUAAGUCGGAUGUGAAAGCUCGGAGCUCAACUCCGAAAUGGCAUUGGAAACUACCUUGCUCGAGGGUUGGAGGGGGGACUGGAAUGCUUGGUGUAGCAGUGAAAUGCGUAGAUAUCAAGCGGAACACCAGUGGCGAAGGCGAGUCCCUGGACAACUCCUGACGCUGAGGCACGAAGGUCAGGGGAGCAAACGGG
rnacentral:rRNA from 1 species